rnacentral:rRNA from 1 species
GACGAACGCUGGCGGCGUGCUUAACACAUGCAAGUCGAACGAAGAGCGAUGGAAGCUUGCUUCUAUCAAUCUUAGUGGCGAACGGGUGAGUAACGCGUAAUCAACCUGCCCUUCAGAGGGGGACAACAGUUGGAAACGACUGCUAAUACCGCAUACGAUCUAAUCUCGGCAUCGAGGAUAGAUGAAAGGUGGCCUCUACAUGUAAGCUAUCACUGAAGGAGGGGAUUGCGUCUGAUUAGCUAGUUGGAGGGGUAACGGCCCACCAAGGCGAUGAUCAGUAGCCGGUCUGAGAGGAUGAACGGCCACAUUGGGACUGAGACACGGCCCAGACUCCUACGGGAGGCAGCAGUGGGGAAUCUUCCGCAAUGGACGAAAGGCUGACGGAGCAACGCCGCGUGAGCGAUGACGGCCUUCGGGUUGUAAAGCUCUGUUAAUCGGGACGAAAGGCCUUCUUGCGAAUAGUGAGAAGGAUUGACGGUACCGGAAUAGAAAGCCACGGCUAACUACGUG